rnacentral:rRNA from 1 species
UGGGGAAUAUUGCGCAAUGGGCGAAAGCCUGACGCAGCGACGCCGCGUGAGGGAUGAAGGCCUUCGGGUUGUAAACCUCUUUCAGCAGGGACGAAGCGAAAGUGACGGUACCUGCAGAAGAAGCACCGGCCAACUACGUGCCAGCAGCCGCGGUAAUACGUAGGGUGCAAGCGUUGUCCGGAAUUAUUGGGCAGUAAAGAGCUCGUAGGCGGUCUGUCACGUCGGCUGUGAAAAUCUCGGGGGCUCAACCCCGAGCCUGCAG